AGACCAUGAUGAGGGUAGUGCCGAAGCGAUUCCUUAUAUCUUUCCCAGGCUUCAUAUAAUGAUUUUGAAUCUUGCUGCAUGAAUGAUGUGAUGUCAUUUCGCAUUUU
rnacentral:snoRNA from 1 species